AGAGGUUUGAGGCAAGGAGAUCCUCUUUCUCCUUUGCUUUUUCACCUAGUAGGUGAUGCACUAUCUGCAAUUCUGGAUAGAGCUAAGGAAGCAGGUGUGAUUAGAGGUUUGGUACCACAUCUGAUACCAGGGGGGAUUAGUCAUUUGCAAUAUGCUUCUGAUACUUUGCUUUUUUUGCAUAAUGACAUGGAGUCUAUUACUGGAUUCUAA
rnacentral:rRNA from 1 species